ACCAAACCAACUCAGCAUUCACCAUGUCUGACAACAUCUCUCUGGCCUCGUAGGGACGGUAGGCAAUUGUGGUGGGAAAGGGAACCCAGUCAGGAGCCUUGGUGAAGUCCUCCACUGACGUCCGGGUCUUCCUGCCCGGAUUGCCGCAGAAGAAGCAGAGUGUGGCGGCAUUGAAGAGGCAGAGGUAGGUGCUGGGAAUGCCGUAGGUAUCUGCGGCGGGUGGAGCAAAACCAGUUGCUGAAUAGUCAUAGAUAAGCCAGUCAGGGUGGGUGUCGGCUAGGAAGGAGGAGAGCUGUGGUUGGAAGGAGUUGUAGAUAAUGUUGAGCUGGCGACGGAGGUCGUCGGUGGGGAGGUCGGAGGUGUUCUCGAUG
rnacentral:misc_RNA from 1 species